rnacentral:lncRNA from 10 species
UGAGCCCAGCUGAUAGGAGUGUCUUGCUUUUGUCUGAGACUUGCGGAGCUCCCCAUUGCCCUUGAAAACCCUGCCUUAGAGCUUGACAUCAUGGGAUUUUUAUUUACCCUGCUUUAUGAAAGUUGACCUUUAGCUUAGAUUUCAGGGUCAAGAGAAAUCAUGGCCGUACGUGAAAGGUAGAGUUGGUCGAGUUGGGAAGUUAAUGUUGAAAAUACAGUGUAAAUGUGGGGAGGCCUCCCCUAGCGCCUUUCUCCACUGACAGAGAAAACAGAAGAAAACAGCAGCUUUAUUGGAACAGACAUUAGCGAGCUGUUCAGCGGCUGUCGGGGUGCCAGCGUGACGCCGAGAGCUUCCUGUGGGCAGAGCACGCCGUGGUGGGAGAGAUCGCGGAUGGCCUGGCCCGGGCCUGUGCUGCCUUAGGAGACUGGCAAAAGUCAGCCACCCAUCUACAGAGGAGUCUCUACGUGGUGGAGGUUCGCCACGGGCCGUCCAGUGUUGAAAUGGGCCAUGAGCUCUUCAAAUUGGCCCAGAUCUUUUUCAACGGGUUUGCAGUACCCGAAGCCCUGAGCACAAUACAGAAAGCUGAGGAGGUUCUGUCGCUGCACUGUGGCCCAUGGGACGAUGAAAUCCAGGAGCUCCAGAAGAUGAAAUCCUGUUUGUUGGACUUACCACCCACCCCUGUAGGGCCUGCAUUGUAGGGUUCCAGGAGGAUUUUGACCCACAGAAAAGGAGCCCAUGGAACACAAGUUAAAGAGGUUUUGCUGGCCAGGUAUGGUGGCUCACGCCUGUAAUCCCAGCACUUUGGGAGGCUAAGGUGGGCGGAUCACCUGAUGUCAGGAGUUCAAGACCAGCCUGGCCAACAUGGUGAAACCCCAUCUUUACUAAAAAUACAAAAAACUAGCCAGGCGUGGUGGUGGGCACCUGUAAUCCCAGCUACUUGGGAGGCUGAGGCAGGAGAAUCUCUUGAACCCAGGAGGCGGAGGUUGCAGUGAGCCGAGAUCGCUCCACUGCACUCCAGCCCAGGUGACAGUGUGAGACUCCAUCUCAAAAAAAAAAAUAAGAGGCCGGGUGCGGUGGCUCAAGCCUGUAAUCCCAGCACUUUGGGAGGCCGAGGCAGGCAGAUCACGAGGUCAGGAGAUCCAGACCAUCCUGGCUAACACGGUGAAACCCCGUCUCUACUAAAAAUACAAAAAAAUUAGUCGGGCGUGGUGGCGGACGCCUGUAUUCACAGCUACUCGGGAGGUUGAGGCAGGAGAAUGGGGUGAACCCGGGAGGAAGAGCUUGCAGUGAGCCGAGAUCGCGCCACUGCACUCCAGCCUGGGUGACAGAGCCAGACUCCAUCUCAAAGAAAAAAAAAAAAUAUUAAGAGGUUCUGCUGCCAGAUGUGGGUUCUGUGGGUCGGGUGUGGGUUCUGUGGGUCGGGUGUGGGUUCUGCAGACCAGGUGCGGAUUCUGUGUAGGUUCUGCAGGCCCAGUGUAGAGGCUCACACCUGUAAUCCCAGUACUUUGAGACGCUGAGGUGGGAGGAUCACUUGAGCCCAGGAGUUCAAAACCAGCCUGGGCAAUAUAGUGAGACCGUAUCACUACAAAAAAGUUUUUUUAGUUCACCGAGCAUGGUGGCACAUGCCUGUAGUCCCACCUACUCGAGAAGCUGAGAUAGGGUCACCUGAGCCUGGUAGGCUGAGGCUGCAGUGAGCCAAGAUCGCACUACUGCACUCCAGCCUGGGUGACAGAGUAAGACCCUGUCUCAACAAAAAAAUAACAGGUUCUGUUGCUGCUGAGCUUUCGUCAGGAAGAUAAGACUUUCCCAACAGUCCGAAGCCUAGGAUAUGAGGGCUGAGGAGGACUCAAACCGUUGCAGUCAGAGAGACACCUAUUUUGGUGAAUAUUUUUUGAAAUAGUUAAGUGGCCUCCAGUACAAACUCCCAGUUCCCAGAAAAGACUUAAAACUAGUAUCUGGAGAUUCCAAGUCCUUUAAAAGGAUUUUAGCUGAUCUGCAGGCAUCUGGAUGUUAGCCUGGGGUUUUGGCUGGAUUCCACCUCGCUCAGUGAUGAUAGUCUGUUUCCCUGGAACAUUCCUGUGGUUUUAGUAGUAAUGAGAUGUGUGCACCACUCCAGUGGGAACUGAAGCUCUUAGUAGUUACAUUGUAAUUAAAAAAGAAUUAUAAAACAAGAAAUCAGCAAGCCUGCUUACCUCCAGAGACACACCGUUCCACUUACAGUAUCUAGCUUCCUCGACUCCUUUGUUAAAAUCGUGGAGUAUGAACCGUGACCAGAGAAGUAAAUAUGGAGCCGUUUUAUUGAGCAGUUUCCUCCAGGGAUGACGGCUGUCAGUGUGUUUCCUGCCAGUUUUCCAGUCCUUACUCUCUGCCCUUCAUUCUGUACUCUUGGCAGAGUCAGUAACCAACCACUAAUAAAAUCAAAGUUGUAGUAAAGACUUUAUAACACAUAUGCCUCCUUCUGAGUUGUUGGUUUUGUUUUGUUUUGUUUUGUUUUGUUUU